ACGGAAGGCAGCAGUGGGGAAUUUUGGACAAUGGGCGCAAGCCUGAUCCAGCCAUUCCGCGUGCAGGAUGAAGGCCCUCGGGUUGUAAACUGCUUUUGUACGGAACGAAACGGCGCUAGUUAAUACCUGGCGCUAAUGACGGUACCGUAAGAAUAAGCACCGGCUAACUACGUGCCAGCAGCCGCGGUAAUACGUAGGGUGCGAGCGUUAAUCGGAAUUACUGGGCGUAAAGCGUGCGCAGGCGGUUUUGUAAGACAGGUGUGAAAUCCCCGGGCUUAACCUGGGAACUGCAUUUGUGACUGCAAGGCUGGAGUGCGGCAGAGGGGGAUGGAAUUCCGCGUGUAGCAGUGAAAUGCGUAGAUAUGCGGAGGAACACCGAUGGCGAAGGCAAUCCCCUGGGCCUGCACUGACGCUCAUGCACGAAAGCGUGGGGAGCAAACAGGAUUAGAUACCCUGGUA
rnacentral:rRNA from 1 species